GCUCCGGUGGCCUAGUGGUUAGAGUGUCCACCUCGGAUGUGGGAGGUCGUGGGUUCGAUCCCUGUUUGAGUCA